UGGCGGGGGAGAAUGGGGAGGGGGUGACCUUGAACCGGAAAGCAAAGAGUAAAUACCGAACCUGAGGAGCAAUUAGUCCCGGGCUGGCCCCCACCAGUCGCUCGGAAUGUGUUGUGUGUCCCCCUUGUGGUUGGUACAAAGUUGAUUUCAGCAGGUGACUUUAUUAUAAAGCUUACCAUUUUCCGAGUGUCCUCAGUAGGUGGAGAUGCCAAAACAGCACGGAGAUCUGUCUAGUUGUUGUUGCUGGGUGUGCUGUUUUUUUUUUUUUUGAUCUUAGACGAAGGCUAAAAAUGCCUAAUUGUUUUUCAACGAGAAAUAAAUUAGCAGACGCCCUGAUGGGGCUAUUUCCUUCCUGUUAACUUACUGAAAGAAGAAAACAAGGUAUUCACUGGACAGAAUUUAAUUCUUCUGGACUAGCAGAUAUCUGAGUUCACAGGCCCCCCGAGGACUAAGUAGACCCCAGGUACAGAAUUCCUGGACCACCUAUUCCUGAAUGAAGGUGGGGAGAGAUCGUUAUGGCUUACUCUUCAUGACAAGCUGGGUUCAAUAGGGAUGAGACAGAAAAGAGAAAGAGAAAGCACUCUGUCCUCAGAUACUAUGGGAGGGGACUCCUCUUCCAGGCAAUAAAAUUAUUCCUCUCCAGCAUCCCCGUUAGCCAUGAACUCCUAUCAAUACAAGUAAAGUUUGGUUAAAAUUAUUUUAUCUUAUCUACUUGUUUUUCACUCAUGUCUAUGCAUUAUUAAUGUUUAUUUUGUAAAAUACAACUUCAUUAACACA